CCCUUUAAUACAGAGGACUAUCCAUCAGCACGAUGCCAAGCAAACCUGCACCCAUGAAGAAGUCCCCGGCUAAGAAGGCGGCCGAAAAGGCACCUGAGCCCGCCCCGGAGCCUGCCCCGGCCCCCGCAGAGGCUCCACCUGUGGACGCUGCCCCGGCUGAAGCUGCUCCGGCAGCCAAGGGAGAGGCAGCAGCCCCCGCAGCAGAGACCCCCGCUGCUGAAGGAGGCGCUCCAGCUACUGAAGAAGGUGCCAUUGCUGCUGAUGCUCCUGCUGCAGAUGUUCCUGCUGCAGACGCUACCGCUGCAGAUUCUCUUGCUGCAGAUUCUCUUGCUGCAGAUUCUCCUGCUGCAGAUGCUACCACAGAUGCUGCUCCAGCUGAAGUCGCUGUAGUUGUGGAGCUGCCAAAGGCCCCGUCUAGUGCAGUCCCCACCAGUGCUCCUCUUAACGUAUCUGUGGAAGAUGUGAAUGAAACCAACCUCACCAUUAAAUGGAAGGAGCCACAGACCAUCGGAGACUCUGGCCUGGACGGGUACACCAUUGAGUACUGCAAGGAUGGAACAACAGACUGGGUUGUAGCUCAGAAGGAGUUGACCGUCGCUAACAGCCUCUGCAUCCAUAACCUGACAACGGGUGACCUGCUGCAUGUGCGCGUGGUUGCUGUCAACCCCGCCGGCCGCAGUGAACCUGGGACACUCGCUCAGCCAGUGCCCAUCCAUGAGAUUGGUGAACGUCCCAAGGUCCGCAUGCCACGCGCUCUCAGAGCCUGCUGUGUCAGGAAGGUUGGAGAGCAGAUCAACAUGGUCAUCCCCUUUCUUGGAAAGCCCAAACCUGUGGUGUCCUGGCUUAAAGACGGUAAGCCGUUGGACACAAAGAGGGUCAACAUCAGGAACAGUGACAAGGACAGCAUCAUUUUUAUCCGCACGGCAGAGAGGGACGACUCUGGUGUUUAUGAGAUGUCAGUCAAAGUGGACAGCUUUGAAGACAGAUCCACCAUCGUCCUUCAGAUUGUGGAGCGGCCCGGCAAUCCUACCAGUGUGAAGCUGGUGGACGCCUGGGGCUUCAACGCAGCACUGGAAUGGACCCCCCCCCAGGACAAUGGCAACACAGAGAUCACGGGAUACACCGUCCAGAAGUCUGACAGGAAGACCGGGGAAUGGUUCUCGGUGCUGGAGCACUGCCACAGGCUUACUGCCACCGUCUCAGACCUCAUCAUGGGCAACUCGUACAUCUUCAGAGUGUUCGCUGAGAACCAAGUGGGCAUCAGUGAGAUGAGCGUUGUCACAAAGGGGGUUGCCACAAUCCACAAGACAGCUAUUGCCUACACGCCUCCCGAGUACCUGGAGCGUGACUACAGUGAGGCCCCGAAGUUCACCACCCCCCUCAGUAACCGCAGUGCCACGGUGGGAUACACCACCAAGCUGCUGUGCUCCGUCCGUGGAAGCCCCAGGCCUCAGAUUGAGUGGUUGAAAAAUCAGAUGAUCAUCGGUAACGACCCCAAGUAUCGUAAGUUCACUAACGAGGGAAUCUGCUGCCUGGAGAUCCGUAAGCCCGGCAACUUUGAUGGCGGCAUAUACACCUGCAGAGCCAUCAACCCCCAGGGAGAGGCCCUCGUCUCCUGCAAGCUGGAGGUCAAACAAAUUAUUCAGGCAGAGUCUGGCAAGUAGAAGGGGAAAUAAACCAAAACCUCCAGAGUGUGUUUAAAGGACCAGCAGAAGUCCAGGUCUUAUGUGUUAUGAUUGUUUGAGGAUGUGAUAGAGAGCCGUGGCUGCCUCUGCAGCAGUGUGUACAUACUGAAGAAAGGGACAGAACAACAUACCAACAUCUACAUAUCUAUUUCCACCCCCACCCAUCCCGACUCACCCACUCCUCCCAGUAUUUGGGGAAGACCCACAUUGCACAACCCAUCCCAGUUUGCCAAUUGUUGUAUGUUAUUUAAGUUGGUGACAUGUGUGUAAGGCUAUAUUUAAAACCUUUUGUUCUGCCUGUGUCCAUCUGCUGUUUGUUACAGUAUUUAUAUAUAUAGAUAUAUAUUUACGACUCAAUAAAACAGUGAAUCCUUAGACAUACUACUGCAAUGACUGUAUGGAUGUUUAAUACAAAAAUAAAAUUGUAUUUUACUA